GACAUGUCAUUUCCCCAGCAACCUUUAUUUGAGCUUAUGGGUGGGUUUGAAGAUGUUCAUGAAUAAUUUGGUGAGAAAGGCCAGAUAACUCAUAAACAUGUUUGAACUUGCUUAUGGGCUUCAAUGAAGGUUGCAGGGGAAAUGUGAAAAGUCAUAGAAAUCUUCCCCCUACCAAUGAGCUUCAUGGCUUGGUAGAAACAGAACCUUCACCUUCCAAGUCUUGAUUAAAAUUUGACCCUCUUGUGUGACAUCACUAAGCUGCGAUCACAGACUUUGGGAUGCUGAUAACCUGGCAACCAUGGUGGUCAUGGGGAUCAUGGAGGAAGGGAGGAAAGGCAAAACCAGAAGAUGAAGCAUCCAUUUCAGGAAACAUUAAAGCCUGGCUGUCACAGGAAAGCAUAAGAUACAUGAGUGAAUGCUAA
rnacentral:lncRNA from 1 species